rnacentral:SRP_RNA from 1 species
AGAGAGCUCGGCACCUGCCAAGGCUGGCAAGAGAGCGCGGUGCGGCGCCUCUUGGACGCGCACGGAGCACGUCUAG